CAUCACGGAGUCCUCCAGGAGGCCCCAGCAUUUAAUCACCGUGUGGUCACCAGACACAUUGGUCCUUUGCUUUCCCGAAAGUCUCCUGUGACCUGAGUCCCCAGCAUCGCUGCUUCUUCCUGGCACACGUGUGGUGAGCAGGCUCCCCUCUGACGAGCCGUGUCUGUCUGUCUGUCUGUGCAGCUGAUCCCCACCCCCUUGGCUCUCUGACCUUUGACAUCGAUGGUCUGCAUGGAACAGUCACUUUUUCUUCUCAGUUUGAUCCAGGAAACAAAACGUGCUUCAAAUUGGACAGACUUGGGUCUAAGUCCCAUCAGGGGGUGAGUUUGGAUGUGGCCAACUCCUCAGACAUCCACUGAGUGGCCUCCACGUCCCAAGCCCCAACUCAGGUGUCCUCCUGGGGCAGAGUGAGGGCAGCCGGUUCUCCCUGGGACCCCUCCCUGCCCAUCCGUGGAAGCACCUGGAACUCGCAGGCACUGCCCCGCGGUUGGGGGCCGUCAGAGGCAGGGCUCGGCUAAGCGGGUCUGGGGCGGGCUGCUCAGCACCUACCCCCAUCCCCUGAAUUUCUGCCUUGCUGUCUGCCUCCGGGGGAUGCAGGCCUGCCAGCAGGGCAAGGAGCCACCCAGCCACACUCCCCGUUCCCCACCCACCGGUUCCUGCCACGUUUACCAAGAUGCGCCCUCCCCCAGGAUCCUACAAGACCAAGUUGCUGAUCAGUUUAUGUUCUGGUUUUCCUUUUGGCAGCAUGAGGCCCCAGCCUUCCAGGGCUGUCUGGAGAGAAACAUGCUAACGCUGGGAAGAAGUCACUUCGGGGCAGUGCGGGGAUGGCGGCGACCCAGCGAUCCAGGACCUGGGCAGCAGAGGUCCUGGCCCCAAGACCUCCAACAAGCCCUUCCUGCUCUGCGGUUCCGGAAUGAAAGUGCCACGCGAUGGACUUAAAGGCGUUCCAUUCACAAGGCCAGACGUCUGAGCAGCCAAAGAGGCCCAGCCUGGUGCCGACCGUUCUGAGCUCCUGCAGGCCUGACCUCGACGUGCUGCGUGACCCGGGUUCCAACGGGGCGCCAAGGAUCUGCCACGCUGUCCAGAGGCUUUGAAGCGGCAAGAACGUUUGCAGCUCAUGCAGCGGCUCCCCAUUCCCCUCAGGAGUCUGGUCCAGCCCUACCCCAGGACCCGCCAGCCCCCUCCAGCUCACAUCCGGCCUCGUUGGCCACUUUUCUCUUACAAGUCUCUCCAAAGGAGGCUGGGGAAAGGGAGAUACAGGGAAACGCAGUGACACAGCUACCUUCUGACAGGCUUAAAAAGAUGGUUGGGUGAAAAGUCUAAAAUGAAGGGCUGAAAAAAUUUUAUCUCGGCGCAAGUGGUCUUCGAUGAACCAAGUCGUGACUGGACCCUGGAAGGGGGCUCCGUGCCUUUCUGGGGGCGGCCCCGCCUGGACGAGAGAACCACAACUUCUCCAGGGGGUAGAAAUCGGCCGGUGACUGCACAGCCUGGGCUCUAACCAGUGACCAGCAACGUGGAACAGCUGUACGCUAAGAGGCCAGAGCUCAGCUCAGCUAAGGGCAGAGUGAAAAACCCUCAGAACCCACCCUCAUUCAGCCGUGCAGAAUUCUGCGCACCUGCCUCCCUGGUGACACGUGUGCUGGUGGUGGCCCUACUGUGUCCCCGCUGCAUCGCUCUCCACCCAGAAACCCUCCCGCUGGCUGCAGUCCGAGAGGGACACGGAGCAAGCCUGUGGGGACCUGCUGGUGCCUGGUCGCUUCUCCCAGACGUGGAUCUUCAGUCGCCUAGAACUGCUGUCAGGCUGGAGGGUUCAGCUAGUGCCGAUAAACCAAAUAAAUCAUUUGGGGGCUAAGGAUUCUGCACCCAGUUCCAACAUGGAUUUUUUUCCCCACACCCAGCCAUUCUCUGUGACCCCAGCUGGGUGUCGUCCAAUUCGACUCAAUUCUGACCCUGUCUCCCUGGAGAUGGCAUCAGAUCCCACAGGCUACGGGCUGUGUGCACCUGCUGUGCUUCGAGCCCGCUGGCUCUUCAUCCCAUUUCUAACCUGUGCACAGGGGACUCUCCUUUCUGGGGGAGUCAUUGACUCGUGUGUGCAUGUGUGUCUGUGCCUGUGUGUGUCUGUACAUGUGUGUGUGCGCACGAGCUUCCCUCCCGGAGGUUGCUCUUGCUUUGCCCACUUAGUUUAACACAGUAGUUUUAGCACGGCCUCUCAUGUAUGAGUUGAGCCUCAAGCUGGGAUGAAGCGAGCAGAGGCUCAGAACUCAGAGGUCCCUCAUGUAGCAGAAGCGCAGGGCUGCCUGGGGUGUGACUAGGAGGUGAGUGUGGAAGGGUAACAGGAGGGACUGUCAGGAAGGUUCUCAGAUGCUGAGCUGAGGGGCACGGCUUUUGCUAUGGAGGGAAAACAAAAUGUCACACAGAGAGCGAAUCAUCACCUCUCUUACCGGUUUUGUGUAGCCCGAGUUUUAUAUAUGACCCUCUGUAGAGGCAGACAGAAAUAGCCAUUCUUCCCUUCUCUCAAAAUAACAAAAUCCGCAUUCCUGCCCAACCAAAAGGCAUUCCAGCUUCUCCUGCAGCUACAGAGGUCACAUACGGAUGUUCUAGGUAACGUGAUGCAAUCAGACCCGCCCAAGGCACUCGCAGGAAAUCGCUUUCCUUGAAGUCAGAGUUCUCUCUUCCUAGAUGUCGGCUGAAGUGGCUCAAGCUUCACUCCCUCCUGGACCAGGAGGAUGGGACAGGUCUGGGCAUGACAGAGCAGAUCCUGACAAACUCAUGGAGCCACAAAUAGCCCUGCACAGCCUCUCCUGCACCUGACUUCUUCAUGCUUCUGGCGUCCUUGGGACCCUGCACUCACUCAGUGGUCUUAGUGCGGUGCAGCUUCUCUGCCUGUCAGCUCCUACUUACUUUGAACUCAUCUCUUAAAAGAAUUCCUUAGGUUUUAGAAUUGUCAACUGUACCUUUAAAUAUUUUCGGCUUCCUUUAUUCACUUUUAAUUUUUCCUCUACGUGGACAGUCCUGAGAGAAUUGGAUGAGGGAAGGAUGAGUUGUCCUCUGGCACUUUUGGUCAUAUUUUCCCUUAUUUAGAAACAGAGGCUACAGACAGGGGAUGUUAGACUUGGAAGACAUGGCAGAGCUCCUGACUUCACUCUCCACCGCGUUGACAAACACCUCCUGUCCCGUGAGAGCCCUGCCCUUUGCUUCCACUCGCAGCUCCAAUAAAUGCUUCUUUCACAUCACCUGGAAAAAUUUGCUCCAAACGACUUAAGCUGCAACCUCCCAAAGAGUGAAGACUUCAGACAAUCUGCCUUUAGGCUACAAAGCAGAGCAAGUCUCGUCUCUGCUGCCACCACUUCCCAGCCAGGGGGGACGCCUUCUGAAUAUGGCCGGUUAUGCAAGGCCCCAGCCCUUCAGAGCAUCACCUGGCAAAGCUCAGGUAUGGAACUGUGCCCUUGAGCGGCUGCUAUGACAGGUGGGUGGGAGAGGGUGGGAGGAUGCAGGGAAACAGCAGGGAGGGCCUCCGGCCUCCGAGGGGUCAGGAGGAACCCACACAGGUCCCCAAGGCAGCCGCCAUCCUCCCUAGCAAAACCGACGGUGUCCAGAUAAAACCUGCCAUCGAGCUCCAGCUUUCCUUUCACUCCGAGUGAUGUUAAUCAAAACUCACAUGGGCCAAAUUCUCACCAGAUGGACAGCAGCUCUCCCUUCUGUGCCGUCAGGCCUGCCCCUGGCCCUGCCCAGUUAGGCUCAGAUGUUUGAGGCCCGAAAGAAUAAAAGCCGGAGAAUGAGCCCCACUUCCAUAGACUGAGAGCACCGAGCAAAGGGACAGAUUCUUGGUCUCCUGGGGGCAGACAGGCUUGGGAUGGCACAGAUGGGCCCUCAACAGAAGACCCUGCAUGCCCCCAACCCAGGUCGGUCAGGGCCAGACAGCGUUCUCCAUCACCCCAGGGGGAGGCGAGGCGGGUACAGCUCUAGUCCACAGUCAGAAGCAAGGACGAAGCAGCCCAAUGGUCAGUGUUUUAAGAGGUGAAACAGCUGGUCUGCCAUCCUGGAGAUUCAAGAAAGGGCUCCACUGGGUUUACAAGCCCCCACUGAGUCCCCAGGGAGUAACCUGGUGGCUCUUGGGUCCGUGAGGUCAGAGGGCUUCACGAGGCAGGGGUGUGAGGGCUGCAAAGGCAGAGGUAACCCUACCGCCCUUCAAUUCUCAGGGCCAACAACAGGCUUUUCAAACUUCUUCGGUGAAACAGAACACACAGAAAUGUGCACUCAGGGGAAGCGUGCAGCUCAAAGGUUUUCCAGAGUACACCAAUGUUUCUCCAGAUCAAGAAGCAAAAUGCGCCACCCUAUAUUUAGAGAGAGCUGCCACCUUCCCAAAGAGAAAAGCCCACAGAAAAGCGGAUGGCCCAUCUGAAUAUGUGAAUUUCUAGCAACACGGGUGACAUAUUCGGGAGUCUUAUAAUACGUGCCAGUUAACCUGAUAAUGAGAAAUAUUGAAAAAUCACAUUUUAAUGAAGAAAUAUUGUCUUUUUUCUCUCCCAUAUCAUGAAACAAUAUUACUCAGAGUCUUUACAUUUCUCUUUGGUCUCAACGUCUUUUGUCAACUGAUCUGAACAAAGGUACCAAGAAUACACAAUGGGGAAAAGAUAGUCUCUUCAAUAAAUGGUGUUGGGAAAACUGCAUGUCAACAUAAAAAAGAAUGAAAUUGCAAUUUUAUCUUACACCAGACACAAAAAUUAACUCAAAAUGGAUUAACAACUUAAAUGUAAGACCUGAAACCAUAAAACUCUAAGAAGAAACGUAGGGGAAAAGUACCUCAGCAUCAGUCUUGGCAAUGAUUUCUUUGAUACAACACCCAAAGCACAGGCAACAAAAGCAAAAAUGGACAAGUGGGAAACAACAAACUGAAAAGCUGCUGCAAAGGGGAAAAAAUCAACAAAAUGAAAGGCGACUGACAGAAUGGGAGAAAAUAUUUGCACACCAUAUAUUUGACAAAGGGUUAAUAUCCAAUGUAUAUAGGGAACUCCCAAAACUCAGCAACAUAAAAUCCUCAAAUAACCAGAUGUUUUUAAAGCUCAGGGUAUGGAACUGUGCCCUUGAGCAUAUAGAUGGCCAACAGGCGUAUGAAAAGAUGCUCGACAUCACUAAUCACCAGGGAAACACAAAGCAAAACCAUAGAAACGUAUCACCUCACACCUGUCAGAAUGGCUAUGAUCAAAAGGACAAGAAUAGCAAGUGCACUGAGGGGGGACUUGCGGGGAAGGGAACCCUCGUGCACUACCGGGGGGAAUAUAAAUUGGUGCAGACGCUGUGGAAAGCAGCAUGGAGAGUCCUCAAAAAAGUUUAAAAUAGAGCUACCAUACGAUCAGCAAUCCCACUUCUGGGUAUGUAUCCAAAAAAUUGAAAUUAGGAUCUCAGGUAUCUCUGCUCGCAUGUUUACGGCAGCGUUAUUCACAAUAUCCAAGGCAUGGAAGCAACCUAAGUGUCCACUGAUGAAUAAACGGAUUAAGAAAAGUAUAUGAUUCAUAUACAUACAUUUAGUUGAAUAUUAUUCAGCCUUAAAAAGGAAGAAGAUCCUGCCAUAUGUGACAGCACGGGUGAACCCGGAGAACAUGAUACUAAGUGAAGUAAGUCGAACACAGGAGGACAGACACUGCGUGAUCAUGGAAUCGAAAAAAGUCAGACUCACAGAAGCAGAGAGUAGAAGGGUGAUUGCCAGGGCCCGGGGGGAGGGGAGGACGAGGAGGUAUUAUCACAGGGUACAAAGUUUCAGUUACACAAAAUGAGUAUAUUCUAGAGAUAUAUUGUCCAGCCCAGCGCCCCUAGUUUGUAACACUGUAUCGUAUAGUUAAACAUUUGCUAAGAGGGUAGGUCUCAUGUUAAGUGUUCUUAUCAUAUAUAUACGCACACAAAGAAUAAUAAUAAUAAAGAGGGCAGCAGGAACCUUUUGUAGGUGAUGGAUGUGUUUAUGGCAUAGAUCAAGGUGAUAGUUUCACAGGUGCAUACUUAUGUCCAAACUCACCAAGUUUUAUAUGUUAAAUACAAAUAGAUUUUUGUAUGUCAGUCAUAACUCAAUGAAGUGUUUUUUUUUAAAGUCUGUUUAUUACAGCAAAAUAAAUAAAUAAAUAAAUGUUACCCGUGC